ACCAGUCAUCUUUUUUGUUUGAUAAAGAUACUUAUUCUCACAAGUUUGUCCUUUCUGGUAAGAACUUAACAACUGCACUAGGAAAAUAAGCUUCACAUGGACUAGGAGCUAGGCCUUCUUCUUCUUUUUUUUUUUUUUUAAUAAAUUUUACUUUGGUUAUUUGGGUUGGGUUAUCUGUGCCACAGCCUACAUUCAGAGGUCAGAGGUCAGGGUUGGUUCUCCCCUUCCACCUUUGGGGAUUGAACCCAGGUUGUCCAAUCUGCACAGCGAGAACUUUACCCAUUAAACCAUCUAUCUCACAGGGACCCUGCCUCCCACAUCACUUUAGACCCUCAGAUAGCCUACCAUGAUUUGAUGUGAUUGGACAUAUUUUGUUAUCAGACAUAUUUUAUUUACCUCCCACUGAAAGUUAGGGUUUGUAGGUGGAAAUAUUUGAGAUGGCAGAAAGUGACCUGACCUGUCACUGCCUGAAGUGGCUGGACUGGCAGCCAUGAGCCUACUUAACUCACAACUCCUGCCCUCUCAGCACAUUUAGGGACCUGGUGCUCCCCACUUCUGGAUGGGGAGUUAUCUCAGCUUUUCUGGUCUUUUAAAAUCUAUUCCAAUAUUGAAGACUUUGGGGAGGGAAGAAUGCAAAUAGUGUGCGUUGUUUGUUUGUUUUACAUUUCAACACAUGUGAAUUUUAUCUCUAUUAAUAUAUUUUAAAAACUGUGCAAAUAGCAGUUUGUACACUAGACUUUCUUAGGACUGGCUGUCUUGUCUUUUUCUUAUAAGAUAAGACAUAUAAAUUUCUUAUAAAAAUUUCUCAUCAAAUACUGUAACUUUCUCAAGCUGUAAAAUUUCUUCAUUAAUAUUCUUUUCAAUAACAGGCUUGGAAUUCAGAUGUAAAACCUACUUUCUAUAGGCAGUUUUAAUACAGAUGCUGAAGCUAGUAUGACUUUACGAGAACAUCUCUAGUAAGGGACCUGGGAAUCGCACAUGCGCACAGUGGAGCAUGACCUGGGAUUCGCACAUGCGCACAGUGGGCACUGAUCGUGCUCACUUGCUCCCUUUGCUUGGAGGGCAGAUGCAGACCACUGUAGGUUGGAGGCAUCUAUUCCGAGAACUUGCCCUCAGUGUAUGCAGAGAGACACUGACGUGAUUCUGUAUUUUGGCCUGGAUUUCAUCAUUUCAUGUCUCACCUUGGGUCCCAUGAGACAGGUUGAUUUCCUUCCGGCUCUAAAAAUACCGGGUGUCUCUAAACUGCAGGCAGAAGUAUUGUUCAAGGAACCCUCUGGUCAUAGAGAUGAAUUACAUGGUGCAGUACAGGCUGAAUGGGUGGUAAUAUUUGAACUCAAAGUGCAUUUUGAAUUGUCGAUUUAAAGUGAUGUUUCACACAGGCAUAAGUUCUGUUCCACCCUUAGCCAGGCAUAGAGGGGCAGGACUAAAGUCUCCGCGCUGGGGAGGCAGACACAAUCGGAACUCUGAGUCUGAGGCCAACCAUGAUUUAGAGUGAGUUCCUGGACAGACAGGGCUACAAAAGAAACCCUGUCUCAAAAAACCAAAACCAAAACCAAACCAAACCAAAAACUAAAAGGGAGAGUUUCCCAGACCUUGAGGAUGUAGAAACAAGAUAUGGUCUAAGCUUUCCCCCAACAUGGUGGCACCAAGCAGCAUGCUCUGUUAACUGUAAGGACUAUCUAUCUAUUCUUCAAGCUUAAGUUCCUAGAGGCCCCUUUCUAACACUGGAUUCCCUUAGGUCAUUAGAACACAAAACAGCAACAUCAGCUGCCUGCCUCUGAUGCCUAGCAACAGUGUGGCUACCCUGUGACCAUGUGGUAAUAACUGCUUGUGAUACCACAUGUAGAAGAAAAUACUGGUUUAGCAGAGAUAAUGCCUUUGGAGUUGGGGGAGCCUGUCUGUGGCUUCAGUAGUGGUCUGUGGCUGCUAGUGCCCCUGUGGCUCCCAAGGGUACAAACAAUUCAGCCAAGUAUAGGCAAAUGGUACCAGCUGCCUCCUACCUAAUUAGGUCUACAGAUGUAUUGCUAGAGAUAUGGAACCUGGAAAUUGAGCAAUAGGGACUCUGCUUGAGCAAAAAAUAAAGCCAAUUUUAAACUGUACUUGUUAUGAUAAUCUCUGGAGGAGACAUGCGAAAGCAAUUAAAAGUAGUUUCUGAGGGGGGAAAAAAUCUUAGCUUCCAUUGAAAAAGGCUGAGGCAAGCUUUUGAAGAGAGAGGAAAUUGAAAGUAACACCAGGCUUUCCUUAAGCUUAACUGAGCAACAUGCCAUGGGUGCAGCACCAGUAGAAAUGUAUAUUAUGUUUAAAAGCCCAAAAUGUGGAAAGCCAAAACAUACCUCUCUUGAACAUAUGGAUGAAAUAACCUUCCCUUGGUCUGAGAUGAUGCUCAAGGAAACUAAAAGGGACUUGGGCGGGGGUGGGGCAGCAGCUGGACCCCAUCACAGACAACCUGAAUGUGUCUGGUUGACCCGCUGAAAAGAAGACCCACUGAGGG
rnacentral:lncRNA from 1 species